ACGGAGAGGGCGAUUUCUAUGUAGAUGAGGCAGCGCAGGGGCUGCUGCUUUGCCACGAAAGAGUUCCCGUGCCGUGGGAGCAAGUCUGGGACCGCUGGUCGGACCGGAGAGUCGCAGCUGUGUGUUAGGGCUAGGAUGGCUCCGGGAUGCGCGUGACGCAAGUGACCUUGCGUGUAAAGGGAUACAUGAUCCCUUAAUUCAGGCUCAGGCUGAAGAACUGACCCACUUACGACAGAAGACACAGGAAGGGAGAGGUGUCUGCUACCUUUUUACCCAGCAUGUGAAGAACACAGUCAAGUCUUUUGAGGGCCUUCUCAGGAACACUGGCAUUGCCUACUACCAGAGACAGAGAUUCUGUGAGCAAAUGGUACAAGGAAGCCAGCUGACAGAGAUCCUUGUCAGAAAACUUGUCACAGAGAGACGGGGUUUCACCACAUUGGCCAGGCCGAUCUCAAACUCCUGACCUCAUGUGACCCACAUUGGCCUGGCAAAGUGCUGGGAUUACAAGCAUGAGCCACCACACUGGCCUAGCUUCUUUAAUACAAGAAUCACCCCCAAUUCUCACCAACAAACUGAGAAGAAAAAAAAAAGAAUUACCCCCAAGAACAUCUGAGGAAGCACAACAGGGACAGACUUGAAGGCACCUGGGCAGUCCUCUGGAGGGACAUCAAGGAGGAAGAAAUGGAUAAAGUCCUGGAGGGACUUCAAACAGUAUUUGACCCAUUCCAGCCGCCAUGACUCCCACCAGCUUCGCAGCAGCAAUGCCUUCCUCUUUGAUGCACAGGAAGGCCCCUCGGCUGUGGAUAUAGCCAAAGAUGAGAUCCAGAGACAGCGGUAGCACCUGAAGGAGACCCUUUUCAUCAACAACUGCCUGUGAGAAAAGCUGGAAUGUCAUCUCAGCAGCUUUGAUGAAGAAAAUGGUGGGAGAGGCCCAAGUCAGCACAUCAUAGAUUCCAUCGUCCAGCUGUAUAAUGAAAACAGAGUUCUCAGAGAACACCGGAGACUCCCCCGACUUGCCUGAAUCAAGUUUCUAGAGGUAAGCGGUGAAAAUCCACAAUAUGAAGUCACUCUCAGACGGGUCCCUUCUCUUGUCACACUCCACUGUAGAAACAAAAGAGGACGGGGAAGCCAGAGCUGCUCAAAACCUUAUAACCCACAAUUGUCAUAGUUAUUCUCAACUUACACAGGGCUGCUUUCUAGACGCACCCCCUCCAGGCCCCCAGACUGCCAGGCUCCAGGAAUAAGUAGCUCUGAGAAAUAUAGUUUUUCGGUGGAAGCCACACUCCACUAUUGCAAAUUGGAGAAGAGAAGGACAAACUUAAAAGGUGAAAAGAUUUAAGAGAACAACAUGGUGAAACCCCAUCUCUACUAAAAAUACAAAAAUUAGCUAGGCGUGGUGACAUGCACCUGUAGUCCCAGCUACUCAGGAGGCUGAGGCAGGAGAAUCAUUUCAACCUGGGAGGCGGAGGUUGCAGUGACCCAAGAUUGCUCCACUGCACUCUAGCCUGGGUGACAGAGCAAGACUCCCUCUCAAGAAAAAAAGAAGAAAGAAAGAAAGAAGAAAGAAAACAAUUGUUUUAGUUGAAUACAUUUUGUCAAGAUUAAAUCAACUUUCCCCUAGGGUACUGAUAGAAUAAGCAAUCAUAAUUUAGAUUCUAACUUACUGGUCUUUGAGAAAUUGUGAAAACAAAAAAGGUGCCAUAAGCCAAAAAAGGAGCAAAAGUCCUAAUU
rnacentral:lncRNA from 1 species